UAGGAAACUAAUACGGAUGGGGCGAUGACAAAGAAAUCACCUGCAAAGAUUCUCGGGAUGAAGCUUGACCUUGGAUUUGCCCUGACAAAACACACACAGCUGUUUUAACAUCAUCACACAUUUCUGCACUCUCUGCUAUUUACACAGAAAAGGACAGAUGUGUGCAGAGCGCUGGAGGAGAGUACAUCCUAGCUGACUUCUCUAACAGAGCUCCAAGACUGGUGGGAGACCAGCCCAAGAACAACCAAGAAUGACAUAAAAAGUGCAUUUCUAGAAGAAUGAGACCAAGCAUUUCACAUGAAUUGUGGAGACUCACAGAACACAGUUUUCCAAGUGGAGUCUCCCCCAAGUCCAGGAGUGCCUUGACUGACAUGGCGUUGGGGUGCCACUGCGAGUGAAGUGUCUGCUCUGCUGCACCCACACUCCACCAGCCUGUCCACUACUAAUGACACCUUUCACGCCUGAGUCCGCUGCAUUUCUACAACCAAUGGUUCUGUUCAGUUGGGAAGUUGGCAUAAAAAGAAGCUCAAACUAUUGCCAAUAUCACUGGGAUGUACCCUAUCAAAAGCUCUCUGCUGACUCCCCCAUCAAAACAUUUAUUUUUUAACCAGAUCAGAAAUAGCAUCUUUCUUUCUGAAGGAGAAACUUCUUCACUAAUCACCAUAGAAAUAAUCAAGAAGUUUUUCCACUUGGUUUUUAUUUGUAAGACAUUUCUUUGCAACCUGGAAUCUGUGAUGCAUGGUUUUUCAAGUGCUCUUUCUGUUAACAAAAUUAGAUGCCUCAUUAAAGACUCCGAAAGAGUCAGGCCAAGUUAGCUGGGCUGGAAACAAAUACUGCUAAUCCAAAUAUUAACCAGCUUGCUAGAGACACUGAGGAUAUAGACCAUAUGUGUUAGAACAAGGAGCCAGGGUGCUACCCACAGGGCAUCUCUGGAUCUAGGCUGGUAAUCCAUUAAAGCUGAGAGGUCAGUGUCCCUGCAUAGUACCAGGGGGGACCCUCCCCCAAAAGCCCAGAGCUUAUUUAUAAAAACUGGUGUUUUCUUACAUGUUUAAA